rnacentral:rRNA from 1 species
UACAGAGGUCCCAAGCGUUGUUCGGAUUCACUGGGCGUAAAGGGUGCGUAGGUGGCAUGGUAAGUUUGAUGUGAAAUCUCCGGGCUUAACCCGGAAAUGGCAUUGAAUACUACUGUGCUGGAGGUUUGGAGGGGGGACUGGAAUUCUCGGUGUAGCAGUGAAAUGCGUAGAUAUCGAGAGGAACACCAGUGGCGAAGGGGAGUCCCUGGACAACACCUGACACUGAGGCACGAAAGCUAGGGGAGCAAACAGG